GUUACUUCUGCAGCUUUGUCUUCUACCACAGAACCUACUUCUUUACAGAGCCCUUCUGUCACGGAAGGACUUGUUGUGAAUGCUUCUCUUAACCCAUGUGAACCAAACCCUUGUGGAGCUGGGGUGUGUUCAGUGAAGGAUGGGGUGGGCGUUUGUCACUGCCUACCUGGACUGCAUGGAGAAGAGUGCCAAUUUGAGGUUGAUGUUUGCCAUUCAAAUCCUUGUACCAAUGGAGCCACCUGUGUGGAGGUGGAGGACACUUUCAAAUGCUUAUGUCUGCCCAGCUACGAAGGAGACCGCUGUGAGAUUGGUAUGAGGUUGCUUCAGCUAGUUCUACUAACAGUCUUUCAAAAACAACCUUA